AGUGAACGCUGGCGGCAGGCCUAACACAUGCAAGUCGAACGGCAGCACAGUAAGAGCUUGCUCUUACGGGUGGCGAGUGGCGGACGGGUGCGGAAUACAUCGGAAUCUACUUUUUCGUGGGGGAUAACGUAGGGAAACUUACGCUAAUACCGCCUACGACCUACGGGUGAAAGCAGGGGAUCUUCGGCCCUUGCGCGAUUGAAUGAGCCGAUGUCGGAUUAGCUAGUUGGCGGGGUAAAGGCCCACCAAGGCGACGAUCCGUAGCUGGUCUGAGAGGAUGAUCAGCCACACUGGAACUGAGACACGGUCCAGACUCCUACGGGAGGCAGCAGUGGGGAAUAUUGGACAAUGGGCGCAAGCCUGACCCAGCCAUACCGCGUGGGUGAAGAAGGCCUUCGGGUUGUAAAGCCCUUUUGUUGGGAAAGAAAAGCAGCAGGUUAAUACCCCGCUGUUCUGACGGUACCCAAAGAAUAAGCACCGGCUAACUUCGU
rnacentral:rRNA from 1 species